rnacentral:piRNA from 1 species
UGACCAGAGAAAGUUAAAACUACAGAUU